rnacentral:lncRNA from 1 species
AAACUGCCCAGGAUUCCCCACUUGGAUUCCCUGCCUUUUUAAAAGCCAGAAGUCGAAAUGGUUAUCCGAGUAGGAAAGUCCAUUUCUUCCUCCCUUACUCUCCCAGCAAAAAUUGGGGGAGACCCCGAAGCAUUCAUUUUAGGCAUUGCCAGUCCCCCAAGGGUGGAAACCACCUCCAUCGUUGCCUAUCUGAGCCGGGUAGGGAGAGGGCCGGGCCCGAGAAGAAAAGGCAGGUUAUGAAGGCCGGCGGCGAGUGGGUGGGAACGAGAAAGCGAGGGCGAUGCUGCGAAGUCAGAGGAAAGGGAAGGGGCUUCCCCACCACUGUUUGAGGCUGGGCAGCGGGAUCCCGCCAGAAGCGGGUCCCUAAGGGAAGAGACGGGCACAUGACAACCGAGAUGCGGCUCCGGCGAUCGCGAAUGUUCGACUUUUUGUAGCCGGUCGACCCUUGCCUAAUUCCUACUCGAUAUCACCGGCGAGACCUCCCGUAGGCGACUUAGUGAGAGCUCGAACCCAGCCUAGGAGGCUAACACGCAGUUCUUAGGCAUUUAGAAUGGAGAGCGAUCAGAAAGGCUGAUGACGUUCUUUCCAGAGGUACCCUCAGAGAGAAAAGACGCUCCGUCAUCGAAGGUUGAUCUCCAAAGACCCCCUCCUCAAAAACAUCUGCAGUGUUUUAGAACUUGCCAUAAAAAAAAAGUAUCUAGAUUUAUCUGCAUGAGGGAGUUUAAGAAAAUAAUUUUCCAUUUUGAGAACGAAUAUUUUAAGCAUUUUGUGUCAGGUUUAGGGUUAAAAUAGAAAUAAUGGAUCCUGAUGAUGUGGAAUCGUGUAGAAUAAGUCAUUCUGAUGGAAUGAAGUAAUUAUUGAUAUUUUACAGGUUUUAUUUUCAAUUGAUGUUGAAAGUUAUAUAAGCAGCUAUCCUAAAGUGUUUUAGAAUAAGAUCCAAGAACGCAGUCCUCACUGUAUAGUUAAAACCAGCAUUUUCAAUGGGAUCUUGGUUUUGGUUUGGGUACCUGAUAUCUUCCGGUUUUUCCAUGCUGCCUAAAGAAUCGCUUUACAGGUCUUUCUCUGAAUCCAACUCCUAUUAACCUAGAACAGUGUUUAUUUGGAACGUGUUUCUGUUCUCAGGAAACGAAAGUACAGCCCACUUGGACAUCAUUCUCAAGGACAGCAUGUCAUUAACGAAAUAGAAAGUGAACUAUGCCCCCUCAUGCUGCAAGCAAGCGCGAGUGUGAGGCGCUAUGACGUAUGGGCGAUUGCAGCAGUACAAUGGCCCCUAUCUUCCACCAGCGCCAACGCACCGCCCACUCACGGGAAAGAGAGCCACCUAGUGAGAAACUGUUCACAUCUCUGGUGUGUAGCUUUCUACCUCAACUCUGGAAGUCAAAGAAUGGAAGUUACUACUAUAUAUACUCAAAUAUUCUACUUUUUUUUUAGUUAGUAUUCAGGGUGAUGAAUUCCAUUAUGGCACACAUACACACACAAAUAUUUUAUCUACCUUCCCCAUUGAUUUCCUCCAUACUACUUUCUUCCCUCUCUUCCUUGUGCUCUCCCCCUCUUAGUCAUCCAUUCUGCUUUCAUUGUCCUGUGAAUUUCCAUUAGAUUCUCCACUGCUUCCCUCCCUACAGACCUUUUCUUCCCUUUUCAUGGUCCUGUUUGAACUUUCAUGACACAUACACAUUUUUAAUCUAGAUGCUGUGUAUGAGAGAAAAUGUUAUUUGUCUUUUUCAGUAUGGCUUCUUUUUCUUAAUAUUUGAUCUCCAGUUCCUUGCUUUUUC